GACGAACGCUGGCGGCGUGCCUAAUACAUGCAAGUAGAACGCUGAAGGAGGAGCUUGCUUCUCCGGAUGAGUUGCGAACGGGUGAGUAACGCGUAGGUAACCUGCCUGGUAGCGGGGGAUAACUAUUGGAAACGAUAGCUAAUACCGCAUAACAGUAGAUGUUGCAUGUCAUUUGCUUAAAAGGUGCAAUUGCAUCACUACCAGAUGGACCUGCGUUGUAUUAGCUAGUUGGUGAGGUAACGGCUCACCAAGGCGACGAUACAUAGCCGACCUGAGAGGGUGAUCGGCCACACUGGGACUGAGACACGGCCCAGACUCCUACGGGAGGCAGCAGUAGGGAAUCUUCGGCAAUGGACGGAAGUCUGACCGAGCAACGCCGCGUGAGUGAAGAAGGUUUUCGGAUCGUAAAGCUCUGUUGUAAGAGAAGAACGAGUGUGAGAGUGGAAAGUUCACACUGUGACGGUAUCUUACCAGAAAGGGACGGCUAACUACGUG
rnacentral:rRNA from 1 species